GCCCAGAAACACUGCAAAUCACAAACAAAAGGUUUCAGAAAUGGUUCACAACUCCGAAAUGGCUAGGGAACGCAACCAUCACGAAGGCUUAUUACGAUUGGGGCACACAUCCGAUGGCGAAUCCGACCAGUCCACGUAGCAACAGCAACCAACCGAAGCUCGGUGCGACGGAGCUCAGCAAUCCGUACAGGAACAGAAGCACUCCACAUAGCGUUAAGGCCUGCGCAAAAGGGACACAAACGAAAGAAGGUGGAACUAAGCAUCAUGCCCAAGAACACAACCGUCGUGACCAACGCUUGCUGGUACCGCGAGAUACCCCAGUCACAGUGCAGUGCCGG